AGUUAAGAAUUUCAUCCUUUCUUCUAUUAAAAACUGUUAUAAUUGAGAGAAUAACCAGACAAUUAUACAUGGUGUGCCAUGUGUGUCUCAUUCUGAUGAAUAAAGAUCAGUUUUUAAUAAUAGAAAUGGAUGAAAUUUUUAAUA
rfam:Gossypium hirsutum cultivar TM-1 chromosome 1, whole genome shotgun sequence